CCUACGGGAGGCAGCAGUGAGGAAUAUUGGUCAAUGGCCGGAAGGCUGAACCAGCCAUGCCGCGUGAAGGUCAGUGCCCUAUGGGCGUUAAACUUCUUUUGUGCGGGAGCAAUAAUGGUCACGUGUGGCCAGACGAGAGUACCGUACGAAUAAGCAUCGGCUAACUCCGUGCCAGCAGCCGCGGUAAUACGGGGGAUGCAAGCGUUAUCCGGAUUUAUUGGGUUUAAAGGGUGCGUAGGCUGUGAGGUAAGUCAGCGGUGAAAUGCCCCCGCUCAACGGGGUGAAGUGCCAUUGAUACUGGCAUGCUGGGAUGCGGAUGCGGUGGGGGGAAUGUGUGGUGUAGCGGUGAAAUGCAUAGAUAACACACAGAACACCGAUUGGGAAGGCAUCUCACGAAGCCGCGAUUGACGCGGAUGCACGAAAGCGUGGGUAUCAAACAGGAUUAGAUACCCGAGUAGUC
rnacentral:rRNA from 1 species